UUUUUUUCAUUUUGUGAGAUGGAUGGAUGUGUUGUGUUGUAUUUGGGGUUCUUGUGCCAGAAAAAGUAAAAGAGAUGGGGAGUUAAAAUAUCUAGUUAAUUUACAAAGAGAAUGCUAGGGAAGUUCAUUUUGGGGUGGGUUUUGGGUUGGUUUUUUUCCCCUUGUAGCAUUUCACAUCUAUUUAUUUGAGAAGACUUCAUCCAGUGUUGCCCUAGAGAAUUGUCUUGGCAGAGAAAGUACAGCCUCCAUCUGGAGACUUGCUUGGUACAUAUAAACUACUUUGGUUGAUAUUAAACACAGGUCCCUCACUAGACUGGGAGACCCUUUUCUGUUUCACUUAUCUUCUCUUUCCCUCAGUUGGAGCUACUUAAUCCUGUGUCUGCUAACUAGGUUUUUUCCCUGUUUGCCUUUUGCUUUUAUUUUAUGCUAGCACGGUAGUUGCCAUACGUAAUCUCCUAACUUUAGUCUUUAUUUCUCUCCAUCUAGCAUAUUGUCUUCUCUGCUUACAAUUUCAUUUUUCAUAUCAAAGAGCAAGGACUGACUGGACUGCUCUGUCAUCUUCGUUCUCUAUGAAGUAUCAAACCCAACCGUACAGAGCCUUGAAAAUAAAAAAAGAAGUCUCAGCCUCUUAGAGCCAUCAUGAAGUGCGUCAUGUGGAAGUUGGGCAACUUGCCCGCAGCUUAUUGCCUUUACUCAGAUUUGAAGUUGUCACUUGGACACUCUUUCCUCUACCAAAAUGUCAAAGGCAUUUUCCUCAGGGGACAGUGCACACGUCAUCAUGCAAAGCAAAGAAACAGUUCAUCCUAAACAAAGAACUCUGCCUGACAUCACCUGGGCCUCCACACACAGUCUGGCUAAAAGGACGCUUUCUGACUUCCAAGAAAAACAAAUGGAAACGCAAAAAGCUUGCAUCUGGCCUGUUACCUCAUCCUCAGCCACCUGGGCUGCUUGAGAGUCGCCAUGGCAUUCCCAGUUCCUUUUUGCUUGCUACAUAAUAAAUUAAAAAGACUGUUGAGAAAAAAGACAUUCACAGAAAGCAGACAACACUUAGAGCUCAAAGACUUAGAAGGACUGAUCUGCAUUAUUUCUACAUGAACUGAAGUUUAUCAAAAUGUCUAAGUGUGGUUUGGUGAAAAUAAUCUGCUAUCGUAAUCUUCUGCUGAAUGGAGAGACGGGCUGUCGUUCCUCAAAGACAAGAAU